CUGCCCCGCCCCGUCCCGUUCCGUUCCUCUGCCCCACCCCGUCCCGUUCCGUUCCGCUGCCCAGUCCUGCUGGUACUCACUAGGUAGUAGCGGCAACGGACGCCAUGGGGACCGCCUCGUCGCUCGUGAGCCCCGCGGGCGGGGAAGUGAUCGAGGACACGUACGGGGCGGGCGGCGGCGAGGCCUGCGAGAUCCCGGUGGAGGUGAAGCCCAAGGCCCGCCUGCUGCGCAACUCGUUCCGCCGAGGCGCGGGGGCGGCAGCAGGGGCCGGGCCCGGGUCGCUGCCCCGCGGGGUGGGCGCGGGCGGGCUGCUGGGGGCCAGCUUCAAGUCCACUGGCUCGUCGGUGCCAGAGCUGGAGUACGCGGCGGCCGAGUACGAGCGGCUCAGGAAGGAGUACGAGAUCUUUCGCGUCAGCAAGAACCAGGAGUUGUUGUCCAUGGGCCGCCGCGAGGCCAAGCUGGACACGGAGAACAAGCGGCUGCGGGCCGAACUGCAGGCACUUCAAAAAACGUAUCAGAAGAUACUUCGAGAAAAAGAAAGUGCUUUAGAAGCGAAAUACCAAGCAAUGGAGAGAGCAGCAACAUUUGAACAUGACAGAGAUAAAGUUAAAAGGCAAUUCAAGAUUUUUAGGGAGACCAAAGAAAAUGAAAUUCAGGACUUACUGAGGGCCAAGAGGGAGUUGGAGAGCAAACUUCAGAGGCUACAGGCUCAGGGUAUCCAAGUAUUUGAUCCUGGGGAGUCUGAUUCAGAUGACAACUGUACAGAUGUCACUGCUGCUGGAACCCAAUGUGAAUAUUGGACUGGCGGAGCCUUGGGAAGUGAACCUUCCAUAGGAAGCAUGAUCCAGCUUCAGCAGUCCUUCAGAGGCCCUGAGUUUGCCCAUAGUUCUAUAGAUGUGGAAGGACCCUUUGCAAAUGUUAAUAGAGAUGACUGGGAUAUUGCUGUAGCUAGUUUAUUACAAGUUACUCCUCUGUUUUCACAUUCUCUGUGGAGUAACACUGUCAGAUGUUACCUCAUUUAUACAGAUGAAACCCAGCCUGAGAUGGAUCUUUUCCUUAAGGACUAUUCACCUAAACUUAAGAGAAUGUGCGAGACAAUGGGAUAUUUUUUCCAUGCUGUUUAUUUUCCAAUAGAUGUUGAAAAUCAAUACCUCACUGUAAGAAAAUGGGAAAUUGAGAAAAGUUCUUUAGUUAUUUUAUUUAUUCACUUAACAUUACCAAGCCUUUUAUUGGAAGACUGUGAAGAAGCUUUUCUGAAAAACCCUGAAGGAAAACCUCGAUUAAUCUUUCAUCGUUUGGAAGAUGGAAAAGUCAGUUCUGACUCUGUCCAGCAAUUGAUUGAUCAAGUUUCUAAUCUAAACAAGACCAGCAAAGCCAAGAUCAUUGAUCACUCAGGAGAUCCUGCAGAAGGAGUAUAUAAAACUUAUAUUUGUGUAGAAAAGAUUAUUAAACAGGACAUACUGGGUUUUGAGAACACAGACUUGGAGACUAAGGAUUUGGGCAGUGAGGAUUCCAUUCCAGAAGAAGAUGAUUUUGGUGAUGUUCUGUGGGACAUACAUGAUGAACAAGAGCAAAUGGAAACUUUUCAGCAGGCUUCUAAUUCAGCCCAUGAGUUGGGAUUUGAGAAAUAUUACCAACGCCUUAAUGAUCUAGUGGCAGCACCAGCCCCGAUUCCACCUCUUCUCGUGUCUGGAGGACCAGGUUCUGGGAAGUCUCUUCUUUUAUCAAAGUGGAUUCAAUUACAACAGAAGAAUUCCCCCAACACACUGAUUCUUUCCCAUUUUGUGGGAAGGCCCAUGUCAACCAGCUCAGAGUCCUCCUUGAUUAUUAAACGACUAACUCUAAAGUUGAUGCAGCACUCUUGGUCAGUCUCUGCUCUGACACUGGAUCCUGCUAAGCUUCUGGAAGAAUUUCCACGUUGGCUGGAAAAACUCUCUGCUCGUCAUCAAGGCAGCAUCAUCAUCGUUAUUGAUUCUAUAGAUCAAGUUCAGGUUGUGGCCUACACUUCAUCUUGAUCCCUUAAGUCCAAAAGAUGCAAAAUCUAUUAUAAUUGCAGAAUGCCACUCUGUAGACAUUAAAUUGAGUAAAGAGCAGGAGAAGAAGCUAGAACGACACUGUCGUUCUGCUACAACCUGCAAUGCCCUUUAUGUCACCCUUUUCGGCAAAAUGAUCGCGCGUGCUGGGAGAGCAGGCAAUUUAGAUAAAAUCCUUCAUCAGUGUUUCCAGUGUCAAGAUACUCUUUCAUUAUAUAGACUUGUUCUGCACUCUAUCCGGGAGUCCAUGGCAAAUGAUGUGGAUAAAGAGCUAAUGAAGCAGAUCCUCUGCCUUGUCAAUGUUAGUCACAAUGGUGUGAGUGAAUCAGAACUGAUGGAACUCUAUCCUGAGAUGUCCUGGACUUUCUUGACCUCCCUUAUUCACAGUUUAUACAAAAUGUGUUUGUUGACUUAUGGAUGUGGCUUGCUUAGGUUUCAACAUCUGCAGGCUUGGGAAACAGUGAGAUUGGAGUACCUGGAAGGCCCCACUGUUACUUCUUCAUACAGGCAAAAGCUAAUCAACUAUUUCACCUUGCAGCUAAGUCAGGACAGAGUGACUUGGAGAAGUGCAGAUGAACUCCCGUGGCUUUUUCAGCAGCAGGGAAGUAAACAGAAGCUGCAUGAUUGCCUUCUUAAUCUCUUUGUGUCUCAAAACCUUUAUAAAAGGGGACACUUUGCUGAGUUGCUGAGUUAUUGGCAGUUUGUUGGCAAAGACAAAAGUGCAAUGGCAACAGAAUACUUCGAUUCAUUGAAGCAGUAUGAGAAAAACUGCGAAGGCGAGGACAACAUGAGUUGCUUAGCUGAUCUUUAUGAAACCUUGGGGCGAUUUCUCAAGGAUCUAGGCCUUCUCAGUCAGGCCAUAGUACCUUUGCAGAGGUCUUUAGAGAUUCGAGAAACAGCUUUAGAUCCCGAUCACCCAAGAGUAGCCCAGUCCCUCCACCAACUAGCAAGUGUAUACGUGCAGUGGAAGAAGUUUGGCAAUGCAGAACAACUGUAUAAACAGGCGUUGGAAAUCUCAGAAAAUGCUUAUGGUGCGGACCAUCCAUAUACUGCUCGUGAACUUGAAGCACUUGCAACUUUGUACCAGAAACAAAAUAAAUAUGAACAAGCUGAACAUUUUAGGAAAAAAUCCUUUAAAAUUCAUCAGAAAGCUAUAAAGAAAAAAGGCAACUUGUACGGAUUUGCCCUUUUACGUAGACGGGCUUUACAGUUAGAAGAGCUUACAUUAGGUAAGGACACACCUGAUAAUGCUCGGACCCUCAAUGAACUGGGUGUUCUCUACUAUCUUCAAAAUAACCUGGAAACAGCUGACCAGUUUCUGAAGCGUUCCUUAGAAAUGAGGGAGCGAGUUCUAGGACCAGAUCACCCUGACUGUGCUCAGUCUUUGAAUAAUCUGGCAGCUCUAUGCAAUGAAAAGAAACAGUAUGAUAAAGCAGAAGAACUUUAUGAAAGAGCUUUAGAUAUUCGGAGACGUGCAUUAGCUCCUGAUCACCCUUCUUUGGCAUAUACGGUGAAGCAUCUUGCCAUCUUGUAUAAGAAAAUGGGGAAACUUGACAAAGCUGUACCUUUGUAUGAAUUGGCUGUUGAAAUUCGACAGAAAUCUUUUGGCCCAAAGCACCCUAGUGUAGCUACUGCCUUGGUGAACUUAGCUGUUCUUUAUAGCCAAAUGAAAAAACACGUUGAAGCUUUGCCAUUAUAUGAAAGAGCAUUAAAGAUUUAUGAAGAUAGCCUGGGUCGGAUGCAUCCUCGAGUUGGAGAAACACUGAAAAAUUUAGCUGUGCUUAGCUAUGAAGGAGGAGAUUUUGAAAAAGCUGCUGAAUUAUACAAAAGGGCAAUGGAAAUAAAAGAAGCAGAAACAUCACUCUUGGGUGGAAAAGCUCCUUCACGCCAUUCAUCAAGUGGAGACACGUUUAGCUUAAAAACAGCUCAUUCUCCUAAUGUUUUCCUUCAGCAAGGACAAAGGAAAGUCCAAUCCAACCUUUUAUCUCCAGAAGGGCUUUCAAACAUAUGUGCUCAGGAAAAAACCACCAGGUUCACUUCUUCCUAAAGCACAUCAGAUUGAUAGAGAAUUUAAAGUCCAGAAAGCCUUGUUUUCAAUUGGAUUCCCCGUUCCCAAGCCUAUACUGUACUGCAGUGAUACUUCUGUCAUUGGAACAGAAUUUUACGUAAUGGAACAUGUGCAGGGUCGAAUCUUCCGUGAUUUAACAAUUCCUGGACUUAGCCCAGCAGAACGUUCAGCCAUAUAUGUGGCCACGGUAGAAACAUUGGCUCAGUUACAUUCCUUGAAUAUACAGUCACUGCAGCUGGAAGGAUAUGGUAUAGGUGCUGGGUACUGCAAAAGACAGGUAUCAACCUGGACAAAGCAAUAUCAAGCUGCAGCUCAUCAGGACAUCCCUGCCAUGCAACAGCUAUCGGAGUGGCUAAUGAAGAACUUGCCCGAUAAUGACAAUGAAGAGAAUUUGAUUCAUGGAGAUUUCAGACUAGAUAACAUAGUUUUCCACCCUAAAGAGUGUCGAGUUAUAGCAGUGCUGGAUUGGGAGCUGUCAACCAUUGGUCAUCCUUUGUCAGACUUAGCUCAUUUUUCCCUGUUCUACUUUUGGCCAAGGACAGUUCCAAUGAUAAAUCAAGGUUCUUAUAGUGAAAACUCAGGGAUACCAUCAAUGGAAGAACUGAUUUCAAUAUAUUGCCGCUGCAGGGGAAUUAAUUCUAUUCUUCCUAACUGGAAUUUCUUUCUUGCCCUUUCAUAUUUUAAGAUGGCUGGAAUAGCACAGGGAGUAUAUAGCAGAUAUCUUCUGGGAAAUAAUUCAUCUGAGGAUAGCUUUUUAUUUGCCAAUAUUGUGCAACCUCUGGCAGAAACUGGACUACAACUCUCCAAACGAACUUUCAGUACUGUACUACCACAGAUUGAUACUACUGGACAGUUGUUUGUACAGACUCGGAAAGGUCAGGAAGUUCUUAUUAAGGUGAAGCAUUUCAUGAAACAACACAUUCUUCCAGCUGAAAAGAUUAUGAGACUGAUGCACUGCCCUACUGCGCUAAGGAGGCAACCUCCUCUUUCUAAGAGCUUUUCUUUCUCUUUAAUGUUCUGUAGUUUUACUAUGCUCUGGCUUCAUUGGCUUUCCGAAUUUGAGGAUUGCUGUCUUAUCAGUUCCGAAAACUUUUAAGAGAGGUAACUGAGUUCUAUGUUCAAAAUGAAAAUUCAGUGGACAAGUGGGGAAAACCUUUAGUGAUUGAUAAACUCAAGGAAAUGGCCAAAGUCGAGGGUCUCUGGAACUUGUUUUUGCCAGCUGUCAGCGGACUCAGCCACGUGGACUAUGCCUUGAUUGCUGAAGAAACAGGAAAAUGCUUUUUUGCUCCAGAUGUCUUUAACUGCCAAGCACCAGACACAGGGAAUAUGGAGGUUCUGCACCUGUAUGGAAGUGAGGAACAGAAGAAACAGUGGCUUGAGCCUCUUCUUCAAGGGAACAUUACCUCUUGCUUCUGUAUGACAGAACCUGAUGUAGCUUCAAGUGAUGCCACGAAUAUUGAAUGCAGCAUCCAACGAGAUGAAGAUAGCUAUGUAAUUAACGGCAAAAAAUGGUGGAGCAGUGGAGCUGGGAAUCCCAAGUGCAAAAUUGCAAUUGUUUUGGGAAGAACUCAAAAUACUUCUCUCUCCAGGUAAUUAAACAAUUCUGAUUGAGAAACCUGUGUAGGAAUGAGCCAGUCUUCCUCCUAUCUAGGUAAUUUACUUAAAAUUCACUGUUUGGACUCACAAAUCAUAAUGUAAGAUAUGAGAGUAAAUGUCAUAUAUUUGUAUUUCACAAGUAUUUUCUAACAGGUGUUUUUGGAAAACAUUAUAGGGAGUAUUGCUGAACAUUCUUCGCUGUGGAAUUUUCAGUAUUAGAAAGUGUUGCUAAAUUAUCAAAGCUGUUUGGAUUAAAUUAUCAGACAAAUUUUUUCAGACCUGUGUAAUGAAGUGAUUAGAUGUUUAGAUCAAAGGCAAUAAUCUUGAAAUGUUUAAUUAUAUAUAUAAGUUCCCAGUUACCAUUGUUGAGCAGUGAGAAGCUUCAAUCAAACAACUCAUUUAUUUUCAAAUCAUUGUUUCUGUUCCAGAUCACAGCCUGCAUCAGACUAUGUUGGUGUACGUCUUUUACACAGUUCCCAUUCCAGUCAUCACUGCUUACAUGACUACAUGAAAACAUCAAAAAGACAAUUGUGAUUCUGCUUAUUAUCUGUUUUAUUUUUCUUCUUAGCAAACUUUUUCUAAUACAAUUUUUCUUUUGACUAGACACAAACAGCACAGCAUGAUUCUUGUUCCCAUGAACACACCUGGAGUAAAAAUAAUAAGGCCUUUGUCAGUUUUUGGCUACACAGAUAAUUUUCAUGGAGGACAUUUUGAGAUCCAUUUUAAUCAAGUGCGAGUUCCUGCCACAAAUCUAAUACUAGGUGAAGGUAGGGGAUUUGAAAUUUCCCAAGGCCGCCUUGGACCUGGCAGAAUCCACCACUGUAUGAGAACAGUAGGUUUGGCGGAACGCGCUUUGCAGAUCAUGUGUGAGCGGGCAACACAAAGGAUAGCUUUCAAGAAGAAGUUGUAUGCACAUGAGGUUGUGGCUCACUGGAUUGCUGAAAGCCGCAUUGCCAUUGAGAAGAUCCGCUUGUUGACUCUGAAAGCUGCUCACAGCAUGGACACUCUGGGCAGUGCUGGCGCUAAGAAAGAGAUUGCAAUGAUCAAAGUGGCUGCCCCACGGGCUGUCAGCAAAAUCGUUGACUGGGCCAUCCAGGUGUGCGGAGGUGCUGGUGUUUCCCAGGAUUACCCUCUGGCUAACAUGUAUGCUAUAACCCGAGUUUUGCGUUUAGCAGAUGGACCUGACGAAGUUCAUCUUUCAGCAAUCGCAACAAUGGAGCUGCGGGACCAAGCCAAAAGACUGACAGCCAAGAUAUAAGGAGGGUGGCACUGCCACAUCCCACUGGCAGAAACUCUCCUUUAUACAAACUUCAUUGGCUCCAACAUUUGAAUCUCAUAUUUUUGUAGCAGUUUGAGCACAGGGUUAAUUAUUCAUUUGUGGUAAAGAUUAUAGCAUCUAUUUUGAUCAGUGGGUUUUAUUAUUUCAAGGGUCACACAGGGUUAAGUUCAGUAAGAAAUGCUGUAGCUGUUGUCAUUCAAUCUAGUGCCUCCUUGAGGCCAGGAGUUCAGGACCAGCCUGGGCAACAUAGCGAGACCCCCAUUGCUACAAAAAAUUUAAAAAUGAAACAAGUGUGGUGGCACAUGCUUGUAGUCCUAGCUACUUGGGAGGCUGAGGCAGGAGGAUUGCUUGAGUCUAGGAGUUUGAGGUUACAGUAAGCUGUGAUCGUGACAUGGCCUCCAGCCUGGGUGACCGAGUGAGACUGUUUCUAAAAAUAAAAACAAAAAAUAAAUUUCUUCUUGAGGUGGGGUGGAGGUGGGGAGCAAGAAUUUGACCUGGCUCUGAUCCCUGGUGUGUUGUGUGGGCCUCUUUAACGUUUGCCACUGAGCCUUAACCUCACUGUACUUCACUGUACUUCACACGCAUUGGUGUUAACAUUUUAAUCUUAGAAGACCCUGACCCACUGAGGGUUUGUUGUGAGAAUUGCUGAAGCCACGUAGAAGCACCUUGAAAUCUGUAAAACCACAAGAAAGUACUUUAUAAAAGGUAUCCUUAUUUGAAGUGGAUAAAUCUUGUAACUCGAAAAGUUGUGAUUUAGAAGACAGGAUUGUUUUUGAACAUUAGGAAUUAAAGGCUAUAUCUGGUCCUUACAA
rnacentral:lncRNA from 1 species